UACGUAGGGGGCAAGCGUUGUCCGGAAUCAUUGGGCGUAAAGAGCGUGUAGGCGGCCCGGUAAGUCCGCUGUGAAAGUCCAGGGCUCAACCCUGGGAUGCCGGUGGAUACUGUCGGGCUCGAGUCCGGAAGAGGAGUGUGGAAUUCCUGGUGUAGCGGUGAAAUGCGCAGAUAUCAGGAGGAACACCAAUGGCGAAGGCGGCUCUCUGGGUCGGACCUGACGCUGAGGCGCGAAAGUGUGGGGAUCAAACAGG
rnacentral:rRNA from 1 species